rnacentral:rRNA from 1 species
UACGGGGGGGGCAAGCGUUGUUCGGAAUUACUGGGCGUAAAGGGCUCGUAGGUGGCCAACUAAGUCAGACGUGAAAUCCCUCAGCUUAACUGGGGAACUGCGUCUGAUACUGGAUGGCUUGAGUUUGGGAGAGGGAUGCGGAAUUCCAGGUGUAGCGGUGAAAUGCGUAGAUAUCAGGAGGAACACCGGUGGCGAAGGCGGGUCUCUGGGCCGAUACUGACGCUGAGGAGCGAAAGCGUGGGGAGCGAACAGG